ensembl:lncRNA
AUGAUGGCAGUUUCUUCUGCAUCCAGACUGGUGAUGGUGUUCGACUCUCAACCUGGCCAGUUGUUAACCAUUUUAACUCCCAUCUUAUGGACGAUGAAUCAGAAGCCCAAGCAGGUGGAGUGCUUUGCUCAGUGUCAGUCAGCAGGUGAGUGGUGGAGCCGGCCUUCAAGCCCCGGGAAGUGUGGCAUCAGCGUCUGCAGAAAACUGCCCCCACAUAAUCUGCUGUUAGGUGGAGAGGCAGGAAAUGGCAUUAACCAUGUCAAUGACCACAUAACUCACUUUGUCCUAAAUAUGGAAUUCGCACUCUACACAGUAGGGGCCUCAGAGGCCUGGAGCUGGGAGAGAGUGUUGUGUGUGGCUAUUUGUAGAAGUGACAGGACUUGAAGGAUCCAAAACUCUAACUCCAACUGCAUGGACAAAGGACACUCAUUGGUGGCAUACCUGAUGAACGCACGGGUUCAUCUGACGAUGACAUCAACGAUAUCUGUCCUUCGUUCUCCUGGAUUUCCUUUCUUCUGUUGGCUUAAUUCUCAGCAAAGUCCUCUUCCCGUGGGCCAGAUUGCCCCUAACAGCUUCAGCAGCACAUUCUGCCAGCUUCACACCACCAGUAAGGAGCUCCUCCACCUCCAUGUUUCUAGAAGCACUUCCAGGACCUGAUGGUCAUGGAUUCGAAUUUUCACAGCUUCAGUGAUGUAUCUGCCUCUUGAGCCAGUUACUGCGUGUGGGCCUGGGUUAUUUAUGCCUCCCUUGCCCAAGGGCGCCCCUCCCAAAAUUGUAUGGAUUAAAAGUGUAGGAGAGGUUUCCUAAAGGAACAUCUAAGUGCAGUUGCCAGAGGAAAGGGAGUUGAUGGACUCUGGGAGAAAAGGAAGCAAAACAUCAGAUCUCUUGCCCCUAUCUUACCAGGUGAUGUGUUGACUGACCAAGUCAAGGACCCAGACAACUAAAAUAAAGGAAGCACGUGAAGGUGCCUGAACCAUGUGCGCAGUCAAAGAAGGAGGGCUUGAAGGAGGAGUUGGGAUUAGCAUUGGAUUUUAAGGACACAUUUGAGAGGUAAGGCUGGGGGCAUAAAGAGAAGGCAGAAGUCUUCUUCAGUAAAUGGAAAGGCAGUGUUAAAGCCAUAGAAAGCAAAAUAGAAUGUAUUCUGAGAAGGGCCAAUAGUUCAAUAUGACAGGAAGAAAAUGAGAUAGAGAAGGUAAAGCUGAGAAGUUUGAUUUGGGCCACAUUAUGGAGAGACCUUGACUGCCUUCCUAAGAAAUAUUUAAAAUUUAUUUAUUUAUUUAUUUAUUUAUUUAUUUAUUUAUUUAUUUAGAUUUUAUUUAUUUGAGAGAGAGCAUGAGCAGGGAGAAGGGGUAGAGGGAGAGGGAGAAGCAGACCCCCUGCUGAUCAGGGAGCCCGAUGCGGGGCUCCAUCCAUCCUGUGACCCUGGGAUUAUGACCUGAGCCAUCCAGGCACCCCCUUAAAUUUUAUUAUGGAGGUGGUGGAUAGCCAGUGCACACGUUACUGCAGAGAAGUCAAGUAAACCCAAUGCUGAGUUAAGAAGAUUAAUCUAGAGAAGACGGCUAGCACAUCAGGGGUUCACCAACCCUUUCCUAAUUUCAUGAUUGGCAGUAUGCAUGCAUCUGAGAUUUGUUAGAGGAAAUCCCACAAUGGGGCAAGUGUAUUGAUAAAUCCUGUUCAUCAAACUCAGGUGGCCACGUGGCACUGCUGAACAAGCCUAUUACCUUUCUUUACUAACUUUCCUGAAUAGGUAUUUUAUACAUUUUCUGUUUUGUCUAAGCACUUUCUCCUGCCUUUCUAGUCUUUUCCUCAACUCCCACUAUUCCGCAUCUGUCCAGGCUCACUUCCAUUUCCACCUGGACUAUUGAAGUGGCAUGUUCCAAGGCGAGUCCAUCCUCAUUUUGCCUUUGCCUUGUCUUCUGGCUCUCGUCCAAAUACAGGGUACCAAGAGUAACAUGGUAGAGGCAGUCUUUCAAAAAUAACUUCAUGAAGUCCCAGAGGGAAGGAAAGAAACAAAAGGUGGAUAGAAGGAUACUGAGCAUGCUUUUAGGCCGGAGAGAUGAAGCCAGUAGAGAGAAUUAUGAUGCAAAGAGCACAGGGGGCUAAGUGUUGCAGCAAGGGCACGGGGCAGAGAAGCAUCAUGGGACUGGGACAGAGACACCUGCUACAGUCAAGUGGGUGAAAAGGAGCAAAGACUUCCUGAGUGUCUUAGCUGGCAAAAUGGUAAACCUGCCCGCACCGCGGCUUCCUACCCUGAUCCCAGAUCUGGGGAUGCUGCAGAGGUGAGUAGGUACUGGAGAAAUGUCUUCAGUAUGUUGGUUAAUCACCUUUCAGGCCUUCCUAUGCUUAUUGGGAUUUAACUGUGACCCACUGAACGGUAAGUUUUGUGGAACAUACAUUGUACUGGGAACUGAGAAGCUCACGUCACACUGUAAGUCUCUGCUGGGAGAUAUAAGAGUACAGAGUAACACGCACGGGGAAGAGGUUGCGGAAUCUUUUAAAUGUGUACUCUUUUUUUCCUUGGUGGUUUGUUGUUUAUGCCUGAGCUGCAGUGAGGCCCCAAACCCACAGAUCCAGCUCAGCCUUGGCCACACCAAUGGUGCUGCCAUUUAGCCUAUAUUAAGGAGCAUCCAACGUUAGAACCAGGCAGAGGGGCUGAGUCCAGCUACACUGCUCAUACGAAGACAGUGGGGUGGUGUUUUAGCACAUGUUUCUUGGAAACUUAGCAAACAGACAAAAAUUAAAUGUAGAAAAUUAGGGUAACAUGACUAAUAUGCUCAGGAUAAUAGAC